rnacentral:misc_RNA from 1 species
AUAAUAUUCAUUUAUUGAUGAUCAUAAUUACUUAAAAGCGUAAAUUCAAUUUGGAGAAAACAGAAACAUGAUCUCAAACAAAGCAACUUCCACCCUUAGCCUAAAAUACAGGGGACAGAUUCAUGUCAUGAUUAUUCCAUGAUAUUACAAGCUCCACCAAUUUGCAGUUAAGCUUUUUCCAUCCUUGUUACUUCUCAAAAGCAUCCACCAGAAUUUGUAAUUGUUGCGCUUCAGUUCA